ACACAUGCAGUCGAGCGGGGAAGGUAGCUUGCUACCUGACCUAGCGGCGGACGGGUGAGUAAUGCUUAGGAAUCUGCCUAUUAGUGGGGGACAACGUUCCGAAAGGAACGCUAAUACCGCAUACGCCCUACGGGGGAAAGCAGGGGAUCUUCGGACCUUGCGCUAAUAGAUGAGCCUAAGUCGGAUUAGCUAGUUGGUGGGGUAAAGGCCUACCAAGGCGACGAUCUGUAGCGGGUCUGAGAGGAUGAUCCGCCACACUGGGACUGAGACACGGCCCAGACUCCUACGGGAGGCAGCAGUGGGGAAUAUUGGACAAUGGGCGGAAGCCUGAUCCAGCCAUGCCGCGUGUGUGAAGAAGGCCUUUUGGUUGUAAAGCACUUUAAGCGAGGAGGAGGCUCCUUUAGUUAAUACCUAAAGAGAGUGGACGUUACUCGCAGAAUAAGCACCGGCUAACUCUGUGCCAGCAGCCGCGGUAAUACAGAGGGUGCGAGCGUUAAUCGGAUUUACUGGGCGUAAAGCGUGCGUAGGCGGCUUUUUAAGUCGGAUGUGAAAUCCCUGAGCUUAACUUAGGAAUUGCAUUCGAUACUGGAAAGCUAGAGUAUGGGAGAGGAUGGUAGAAUUCCAGGUGUAGCGGUGAAAUGCGUAGAGAUCUGGAGGAAUACCGAUGGCGAAAGCAGCCAUCUGGCCUAAUACUGACGCUGA
rnacentral:rRNA from 1 species